CUCCACUGGAGUCUGACCUGCCAGACCUGUCAGAAGCAAGUGUAAGGGAGAUUAGUGACAUGUCAGAAAUGUUUGAUACUCUCGUGAAUUUUAUCCUAUGACAAGACUUUCCAUGUGGCAGUUCUCCAACAGAGAUGAUAUGAAAGCUUAUCUCACUGGGAGACAAGUACAGCUCUCACAAUGAACCACAAGUGGUUCCAAUGAGAUGAGUACACCAGCUCAACUACCUAUGAGGUGUACACCUUCUUUCCACAAAUGUUACUGAGUUCUCUGCUUCUACAAAUCCACUGCUGACACUUGCUAAGAAGCGCAGCCCAGAUUUCAAAUUUUAUGGGAUCUCCUGGCUCAAUGCAUUGUGAGGCCAGGAUGCAUGUCAACAUUGACGACUAGCAGAAGCAAGGGAGACCAAAGACAAUUAACUGUAUUUCUC